ensembl:lncRNA
UAGGCCAAACCGGAAGACGGUUUCUCGAGUUCACGCGGGAAUUUAUGAUGGAGUUAUACUAAAAUAGCGGGUUUCGAUUUAGGGUUAAAAGAAGGUAGGCUUAUGUAUAGUUAACAUCACUUGAAGAGACGUUUAAGUGUACUACAACGCUAAUUUGACAAGAGUCUAUCAAGUGACAGGCUUAUCUAAUUAUGGAUUUGGUGCCUUUCCAGACUCCAUAGUGACCUCAAACUGUGCAAUAUCCGCCUUCACUGUCUCUCAGCCUAGGGAAUCAGAGAAACAUAGAGAGCCCUUGAGUGUGC